rnacentral:rRNA from 1 species
CCCUUAGAUGUUCUGGGCCGCACGCGCGCUACACUGACGAAUGCAACGAGCUUAUAACCUUGGCCGAAAGGUCUGGGUAAUCUCCAAAUUUCGUCGUGAUGGGGAUAGAUUAUUGCAAUUAUUAAUCUUCAACGAGGAAUGCCUAGUAAGCGUGAUUCAUCAAAUCGCGUUGAUUACGUCCCUGCCCUUUGUACACACCGCCCGUCGCUCCUACCGAUUGAGUGUGUUGGUGAGGAGCUCGGAUUGGCAGCAGGUGGUGGUUCGCCACCGCCUAUUGCUGAGAAGUCCUCCAAACCGCCCCACUUAGAGGAAGGAGAAGUCGUAACA